CCCUUAGAUGUUCUGGGCCGCACGCGCGCUACACUGAUGCAUUCAACGAGUCUAAAACCUGCUCUGAUAGGGGUGGGUAAUCUUUUGAAUGUGCAUCGUGAUUGGGAUAGAUGAUUGCAAUUUUUCAUCUUCAACGAGGAAUGCCUAGUAAACGCAAGUCAUCAGCUUGCAUUGAUUACGUCCCUGCCCUUUGUACACACCGCCCGUCGCUCCUACCGAUUGAAUGAUCCGAUGAAUAUAAUGGAUUGAGGAUGCAAGCAGGUUCGCCUGUCUUCAUCUUCGAGAAGUGAAGUAAAUCUUAUCAUUUAGAGGAAGGAGAAGUCGUAACA
rnacentral:rRNA from 1 species